rnacentral:rRNA from 1 species
UAAGACGAACCGUGCGAACGUUAUUCGGAAUCACUGGGCUUAAAGCGCGUGUAGGCGGGGCGGUGCGUCGGUCGUUGAAAUCCCCCGGCUCAACCGGGGAAGUGGCGCCGAUACGACCGCCCUGGAGCGACGUAGGGGGAACUGGAACUUCCGGUGGAGCGGUGAAAUGCGUUGAGAUC